rnacentral:rRNA from 1 species
UCGACUGUUUAUCAAAAACAUAUUUAAUAGAAAUAAUUAUUAAUAAAACCUGCUCAAUGAAUCAUUCAAUAGCCGCAGCUUAUACUGUGCUAAGGUAGCAUAAUCAUUUGGCUUUUAAUUGAAGUCUAGAAUGAAAGGUUAAACUUUUAAAAUAUUAUUUAUAAAUUUAAUUUUUAAUUUAUUUUAAAUGUAAAAAAACAUUUAUUAUAAGAAAGACGACAAGACCCUAUUGAACUUUACUGAAGUUUAACUGGGGCAGUUAAUUAAUAAUUAUUUUAAUCUUUUAUUUUUUAAAAAAGACCCAAUAUAAUUGAUUUUAUGAUCAAGCUACCAUAGGGAUAACAGCGUAAUAUUUUUCUAUAGAUCUUAUAUAAAAAAAUGAUUGCGACCUCGAUGUUGAAUUAAUUUUUCUAAAUAAUGCAACCAUUAUUAAAGAAAGUCUGUUCGACUUUUAAAUAAUUACAUGAUUUGAGUUCAGACCGGUGUAAACCAGGUCGGUUUCUAUCUU